GACGAACGCUGGCGGCGUGCCUAAUACAUGCAAGUCGAACGCUUUUUCUUUCACCGAGACUUGUCUCACCGAAGGAAAAAGAGUGGCGAACGGGUGAGUAACACGUGGGUAACCUGCCCUCGAGAAGGGGAUAACACUUGGAAACAGGUGCUAAUACCGUAUAACAAUAACUGCCGCAUGGCAGAUAUUUGAAAGGCGCUUUUGCGUCACUCGAGGAUGGACCCGCGGUGCAUUAGCUAGUUGGUGAGGUAACGGCUCACCAAGGCGACGAUGCAUAGCCGACCUGAGAGGGUGAUCGGCCACACUGGGACUGAGACACGGCCCAGACUCCUACGGGAGGCAGCAGUAGGGAAUCUUCGGCAAUGGACGAAAGUCUGACCGAGCAACGCCGCGUGAGUGAAGAAGGUUUUCGGAUCGUAAAACUCUGUUGUUAGAGAAGAACAAGGAUGAGAGUAGAACGUUCAUCCCUUGACGGUAUCUAACCAGAAAGCCACGGCUAACUACGUGCCAGCAGCCGCGGUAAUACGUAGGUGGCAAGCGUUGUCCGGAUUUAUUGGGCGUAAAGCGAGCGCAGGCGGUUCUUUAAGUCUGAUGUGAAAGCCCCCGGCUCAACCGGGGAGGGUCAUUGGAAACUGGAGAACUUGAGUGCAGAAGAGGAGAGUGGAAUUCCAUGUGUAGCGGUGAAAUGCGUAGAUAUAUGGAGGAACACCAGUGGCGAAGGCGGCUCUCUGGUCUGUAACUGACGCUGAGGCUCGAAAGCGUGGGGAGCAAACAGG
rnacentral:rRNA from 1 species